UGGGGACCAAGCGCACGGUGGCGCACAGGGCUUCUGAAGGAGCAGGGCAGGCCACCUAGUGCUGGUUCCAGGUGUCAGAAAGGUGUGUCUGGAGCAGCCAGGUGCCCAGGCUACCCUUACCGCCUCUCGUUUAGGGAGGUGGAGUGCAGAUGGAUCUCCACCUCCAGGUCAUGCCCCAAAGGGUGGCACCCUGAGACAGCAGGCAAGACAGAGGGGACCCGUGAACGGAGGUUCAGCAGAGGAAGGGUGGCCUUUGAGGAAGAAGGACAAGGACUGGGGCAAAGCAGAGAGAACUGCUUCCCGCAGAGUGAGCCUGAAGCUGGACCCGGACACCGCGAGCCCCAAGCUCAGCCUGUCGGAGGAUGGGAGAAGCGUGUGGCGGCUGCUGUUCCCACAGGACCUGCCCCCCGGCCCCGGGAGGUUCGAGCCGGAGCCCUGCGUCCUGGGCCGGGAGCGCUUCUGGACGGGGAGCCAUCGCUGGGAGGUGGAGGUGGGCCGCAGGAGGGCCUGGGUGCUCGGCGUGUGUGCGGAGGGCUUGCCGCGGAAGGGCAGGAUCCCCAAGGCCCCGCGGCACGGAGUCUGGGCGCUGGAGCUGUACGGGAGGCGCUGCCGGGCCCUGUCCUACCCCAGGACGCGCCUCCAGCUGGCCCGGCCCCUCCAGCGGGUGGCCGUCACCCUGGACUGCCACGCCAGCAGCGUCUCCUUCCACAGCGGGACGGACGGCUCCCUGCUCUACACGUUCUCUGGACUCGCCGCUGGGCCCCUGCGGCCAUUCUUCUGUCUCUGGACGCACGACCCCUGUCCCCUGAUCAUCUGCCCAGUGGGCCCAGAGACCGGGAAAGGUACUGCCGACCCCAGAGACCUCUGGCCUUCCCCGGGAAACUCCAGUGGGGGAGACACUGUCCUCGAAAGACAAGGACACUCCCCGGGCGAGGCUCACAUUCUCGCCCAGCCCUGUCCAGCACCGGGAGGAACGUGCAGCCCCUGAAGCUCAACAGGACUGUGUCUGAGGGUGCGGCCCAGGGCCGCGAUCCCCCGUCCCAGCUCCACACUUCUCCUGUAAAAUGAUGGCGCUGUGGUAGGCACUGAAUUGUGCCCCUUCGAAGGUUGAAGUCCUAACCCCGCGACCUCCAAAUGUGGCUGUGUUUGGAGAUAAGCCCUUUAGAGAGGGAACUGAGGUCAAAGGAGGUCAUGAUGUGUCCCUGAUCCUACAGGGCUGGUGUCUCCACAGAGGGGAGGUCAGGUCACAGGCACAGAGGCCUGGCCCUGGGAGGGUCUGCGGAGAAGCCCAGGAGAGAGGCUGAGGGGAAACGGCCCUGCCAACAGACGCCUUGGCUCGGCCACCAGCCUGCAGGACUGGAGAAGGUCAGUGUCCGCCUUUAGGCCAGGCCUGCCGUCCUUUGUUACCGAGGCCCAGGCAGAUUAAUAAUAAAGAGCAGUCAGUACACCCCUGGGCUCCUCUG
rnacentral:lncRNA from 13 species